UACGGGGGGAGCAAGCGUUGUUCGGAUUUACUGGGCGUAAAGGGCGCGUAGGCGGCCACCGCAAGUCAGUUGUGAAAGCUCUGGGCUUAACCCAGAAAGGUCAACUGAUACUGCGGGGCUAGAGUGCAGAAGGGGCAACUGGAAUUCUCGGUGUAGCGGUGAAAUGCGUAGAUAUCGAGAGGAACACCUGCGGCGAAGGCGGGUUGCUGGGCUGACACUGACGCUGAAGUGCGAAAGCGUGGGUAGCAAACGGG
rnacentral:rRNA from 1 species